AUUGAACGCUGGCGGCAGGCCUAACACAUGCAAGUCGAGCGGAUGAAGGGAGCUUGCUCCUGGAUUCAGCGGCGGACGGGUGAGUAAUGCCUAGGAAUCUGCCUGGUAGUGGGGGAUAACGUCCGGAAACGGGCGCUAAUACCGCAUACGUCCUGAGGGAGAAAGUGGGGGAUCUUCGGACCUCACGCUAUCAGAUGAGCCUAGGUCGGAUUAGCUAGUUGGUGGGGUAAAGGCCUACCAAGGCGACGAUCCGUAACUGGUCUGAGAGGAUGAUCAGCCACACUGGAACUGAGACACGGUCCAGACUCCUACGGGAGGCAGCAGUGGGGAAUAUUGGAGAAUGGGCGAAAGCCUGAUCCAGCCAAGCGGCGUGUGUGAAGAAGGUCUUAGGAUUGGAAAGCACUUAAAGUUGGGAGGAAGGGCAGUAAGUUAAUACCUUGCUGUAUUGACGUUACCAGCAGAAUAAGCACCGGCUAACUUCGUG
rnacentral:rRNA from 1 species